ACCACACCAACCAACACUCUAAAUUCUGUUGUGUAAUUUAGGUAAAUAUAAUAUACAUAUAUAAAUAUACAUGUUUGGUUAUAAAUAAUCAUAUGCUGGGUUGUUGUUAACCCAAACAUGAGUUAAAACAACCCAGCAUUGCAUUGAAACAACCCAGCAUAUGUUUAUUUAUAAACCAACAUAUGUGUUCUGUCCAAUAUUUUCCCAGCAUUGGGUUAAAAAUAACCCAGAUAAUUUAGAGUAAAUCAGCACAUCCUACUUGUACAAACUGUGCACAACAACUGAAAAUCAAUGCAAAGUUUUAUGUUCUGUCUAUGAGUGUCCAUUUCUGUACCAGAAUAGAUUGCUGUACUAACAUAAUGUCUAUUUGUUGACUAAAUAUAAAUAUAUAAUAUUAUUUGUUGAUUAUCCGCAAAGGCAUAUAAUAGUUUCAGAUUAAAGAGUUAAGCGGACAUUCUGUAUCAUAGCACCCAAAAAGCGUCAGCUAUCACUGCCAAGCAAGGGGUUGGCGUCAGCGUUUUCAGCCAUAUUUAAUGUUUUAAUGCUUCCGUGUACAGUACACUGAGAUAAUUGACCUUUUGCCGGCCCCUUCCCCAAAACGGCCAUUGUCCAACAACACAUCACAGCAACCGUUACUAUGCGAGCACCUCCGACAAACAUUCACACCCGCAGCGUUUGUGUGCGGUGCAUACAAUGGAUAAAACAGUGUGGACUGCCCAAUAUAAUGGAUAAAACAUUGUGGACUGCCCCAUUCAGUUAACCCCCUGGGGUCCAAAAACGCGGGGCCGCGUUUUGACGCAUUUUUUCCUGUUUCCUGUGACAUCCACUUAAAAUACUCCAUCAUUCAUAAUCAUACACAUACAUGUAAUACAUCAUUCGAAACUGUGAAGUCUCUACUUUAAUGUGAGUGCCUUCAUAAUAACAACAAAACUGUGUGCUUUUGGCAAAUAAAGAAAAUAAACAGGGAGUGCAUUUCGACAUCUCUGUCUCCUUGACCAUUUUCCUCAAACACGUUUCAAACAUGAACUGAUAACUCCGCCAAUACUUGUCACACGAACAUGAUACAUAUGUCUAAAGAAAGCCUGAAAUGUCUACUUUUACAUAAUGUAAUUAAAAUCUGAAGAACUCAUUGUCUGUUUGUGUAAUCAACAUGUAAGUAAAGAGAGGUACAGUUUUUCUGGCUCAACCUCAUUAGCGCUAAUGUGAUCCCACCUACCUUGUGCGCGCCAUUCAUAUGGAAAUUACCUGAUGCGGGCUAUGCAAACAAGAUCAACGCCCCCAAACAAUGCUUUAAGAAGCAGCGAGUUUUGACAGUUUCAUCCACUUAUCAACGCGCUGGGAAGAUGACACGGUUUACAGGUGAGGAAGCUAAACAGAUGCUCCUGGCAGCGAGGAAGAGUUCACUGUUUCUUCAGACGAAGAGCAGGACUCCGACGAUGAACGUUUGUUUUUUGAAGAGCGACUUGAUCCAGCUGAGGAUAUAAUUUCUGAAGAGAAUGUGGCAGCAUCACUCUCCUCUUCAGCGGGCAUUUGCAGAAAUGCGACGGACAUUCAUAAAGGGAAUGUGUCUGCAACACCAACUUCGUCUGGUACCCGCACGUUUUGAACAAUGGGACGACAACAUUUAACUCCAUUCCCAAAGAGUUACAGUGUGUGAUGGUUUACAAAUGUAUACCUUAUUUUUUUAUAUUUGGAAGUAUUUUUAGAUGCACACCAAACUUUCACAGCUGACCAUUUAGAAUCCUUUUCUUUUAAUUAGAGCCAUAUUGUACUGGUCAUAUAGAAUAUUGUUACAUGUAUACAUAUUGUUACUUUAUUAUUUAUAAUUACAAUGAAGCUUCUUCAUUUAUAAUUACAAUAAAGCUUCUUAAAUCUA